rnacentral:misc_RNA from 1 species
GUGAAUCAUCAAAUCUUUGAACGCAUAUUGCACUCUCUGGUAUUCCGGAGAGUAUGCCUGUUUGAGGGUAAUUAAAAAGAAUCUUUAACCAAUUUUUUUUGCCCAAGGGAAUUAGGUCUCCGCGUUUAUAGCGGUAGCUUGAAAUAAAAUGGCAAGUCUUCUUUUAGUCGGGAGGCGUAAUAAUCUUAUUUCGCGAAAUCUUCAUUAUGUGACUAACAAGUUUUGAUGCAUACCAAUUUGCCUUUGAU